rnacentral:rRNA from 1 species
AUUGAACGCUGGCGGCAUGCCUUACACAUGCAAGUCGAACGGCAGCACGGACUUCGGUCUGGUGGCGAGUGGCGAACGGGUGAGUAAUGUAUCGGAACGUACCUUUCAGUGGGGGAUAACGUAGCGAAAGUUACGCUAAUACCGCAUAUUCUGUGAGCAGGAAAGCAGGGGAUCGAAAGACCUUGCGCUGAUUGAGCGGCCGAUAUCAGAUUAGCUAGUUGGUGGGGUAAAGGCCUACCAAGGCGACGAUCUGUAGCGGGUCUGAGAGGAUGAUCCGCCACACUGGAACUGAGACACGGUCCAGACUCCUACGGGAGGCAGCAGUGGGGAAUUUUGGACAAUGGGGGCAACCCUGAUCCAGCCAUGCCGCGUGAGUGAAGAAGGCCUUCGAGUUGUAAAGCUCUUUCGGCCGGGAAGAAAUCGCAUAGGCUAAUACCCUGUGUGGAUGACGGUACCGGAAGAAGAAGCACCGGCUAACUACGUG